CUGUUCCAUUUAUUUUGCAAAUGUAUCCUGCUUGUUGCUGCUGUUUUCAGCCAUGCCCUUUCUCCUUCUUUCUGUGAUGAUGCCUCCAUUUCUGUGAUGUCUGACUUUUUUCCUUCCUCCUCUUUCUUGAGCGCCGCCACCUCGGUUUUCUUCACCUCUUGUUGUCUUCUGAGGUCUUCCUCGAGCCUGUGCCUCUGCCACAAGUUCCUGAUCCACGGAGGCCACAGGUAACAUCCGGUUGUUUGAACCCGUGGAGAACUGCGGGGCACGGUUCUCCUCUGCUUCUCAGCCACGCCGUCCCGCCAUGCGUUCUUCACCCACAUUUGUCGGUUGCUGCCUCCCUCCCUCCAGCUGUCAGCUGUCCCUCUCUCUUCCUUCUUCUCCCUUCCUCCCUCUCCAUGUGUACGGCUUGGACCUUAACCCUCUUUUUCUCUCAAAGACCUGAAAUGUGGGGGUCCUAGAGGGCCCCUCUUCAGAGCCACACUUACAGCCAGCCAGUUGCAAAGAGGGCAGGUAGAUUCCACACCAUCUUCCACAGCCCGCUGCCUGCCACUCUCUGCAGCUCAAAUUUCAGGGGCUCCUGCAGCUGAGACAUGGACCCUACUUUACGCCAAGCAGAGGGCCGUGGGGUUCCCUCGUGUGACUGUGAGGUUUGCUGGAGACUGCGAGCCUGCCAGUGUGGCCUCUGCCCUGCCUGGUGCCCAUCCUGUCUCCGAUCCACCUGCACGCCGCAUCCUGGAUCCUCAUCUCCCGCACCCAUGGAUUUCAGCAUCCAGUGUUUCUUGGCGUUCCCUCUCACAGGCCCAGUUCCUCAUGGACGUGAGACCUUCCCACCCAGCGUCUCCCCGAACACGGCCGGUAGUGUUCAGCCUUUCACCACUCCUUCUCUGCCACUCGACUUCUUGCCAGCUGGUGUCCAGUUACAUUUUGGCAAAGGUGGUCACCGGGCAGACCUGGAGAGAGGGAAGACAUGGAAGCCCUCUCUGCCCUCUGCAGUGGCAUCGUGAGACGUGGUCUCUGAAUAACAGAAGAUCUUCUUCAGAAACCUCAAGCUCCGAUGAUGCCUUCAGACCCAUGAAGAUGGAGUGUGAAAUUCCAUGAAUAUCGAGUCUAUUUUCUGGACCCCAGAGGCUUCAAUGGAAAAUUGAAGAAUAUGAAUGAAUAUAGCAAAUUUCAGCAGAGAGAUCGAAAGGACCACAGAGGAUGAAAUGAUGAAAUGCUCAUGCAAGAGAAAAAUCUCAACAAAGGAGCUACAGAAUGCUUUCCCCAGACUGUCUGUCUGACACCAGAUUUGACAACACUUUGUAAAUAACCAGGAGCCACAGUAGAAAUAUUCUAGGGAAUGGGAAUCACUGUCUCCUGAGGUAACAAAGAAAUAUAGAAAGCCAACAAAAUGUUUAGAAUUAUAAUCAUGAUAAUAAUGAUAGCUAGCAUUUAUUGAGUACUUGCUGUGUUCCAGCCAGGCUUGGUACUAACCUCUGUAUAUUUAGUAACUCAUCCAUUGGCUCUAUGUGACAUGUCCUACAAUCAGUCCAAGAGUAGGAAACUGACGGUGACAGAGAUGAAAAGACUUUU
rnacentral:lncRNA from 1 species